rnacentral:lncRNA from 1 species
GAGCUAGAGAGAGAAAAUCACUCAAGCUUCAAAUCAAGCUUCCAUGAAGUUUUGAAGAAACGUGAGGGAGGAGAAGAAGAAGAAGAAGACCAGCUACUAGAAAUUCAGGGUAUUUAUAGGCCAAUCUUAUCCUUUCCCAUAAAAUUACGAAAAUGCCCUUCCACCAAUUAACUUAUUCUCCUCCAAUCUUUUAUGUAAUCUUUUUGCUCUUUUAACACUAGGACAAGAUCCAUAAUGGUCUAAACAUACUCGGGUUCAUAAAAACUUAAAAUUUUAACCCGAGGUGAAAAAUGACCAUUUUGCCCCUGUUAUGAAAAUUAUUGAAUCUUCUAGUUUUCUUCGUGUUUUCAUCAGCACACAUCAUUUAUACUGUCUUAUGCCUAUUUAGGCCUUAAAAUAUCAUAAAGCUUUCUUCUGGAAGCUUAUUAGAGAAAAUGACGAAACUACCCCUAGCCCAUAUUAUUACAUCUAUACUUAGUUACAAGCCUAUAGAAGUUGGGGUAUCACACAGCCAUUGAUGGGUGGUGGAAAAAUGGAUUCUUUUCUUAUUGUUUUGUUUCUAAACAUGCUUAACUAACUAUAAACACCAACAUAACUCAAAAUCAAAUCAAUCUAACAUCAUUCUCUCUCCAUACCCAUUCUGACCAGCCAUGAAUUCAUCAUGAAAACAUGUAAUUUAACCAUGGAAAAUGAGGAGAAAUGCAUGGGAAAGAAAGAUCUCAAGCUUAAUUGAAAAAUUUUACCUUUUUUUCACUUGUUUUCUUGAAUUUUCACACUUUUCCCUUGAAUAUUUCCACCUAGGGUUUGUUCUCUUCCUUUUCUUCUUUUGUUCUUCUUUGGUCUUGGUUUGGCUGACCAUAUG